CCUCCCAAAGUGCUGGGAUUACAAGUGUGAGCCACCAUGCCCAGCCUACAAUUCCUGAUUUUAAAAUACAUUCUGAAGCUACAAUAGCUAAAGCAGUUUGAUACUAGCAUAAAGGCAGACAACCAGAACAACAAAACAUAACAGAGUACUCAGAAAUAAAGCUUCCCAUAUGCAGUCAAUUUGGCUUUUUGAGGUGCGUGGUGCAAGCUGUUGGUGGAUCUAGCAUUCUAGGGUCUGGAGGAUGGUGGCC
rnacentral:lncRNA from 1 species